rnacentral:rRNA from 1 species
UACGUAGGUGGCAAGCGUUAUCCGGAUUUACUGGGUGUAAAGGGCGAGUAGGCGGGAUUGCAAGUCAGAUGUGAAAACUAUGGGCUCAACCGAUAGAGUGCAUUUGAAACUGCAGUUCUUGAGUGAUGGAGAGGCAGGCGGAAUUCCCGGUGUAGCGGUGGAAUGCGUAGAUAUCGGGAGGAACACCAGUGGCGAGGGCGGCCUGCUGGACAUUAACUGACGCUGAGGCGCGAAAGCGUGGGGAGCAAACAGG